rnacentral:lncRNA from 1 species
AAAAAAAUGCUGCAAAAAUGACCUUUGCAUGUCAUUUCAUUGGUUGGUUUGCUGUAAGGUUUCUGUCCCAUAGAUGUUAACUACUUUCCUAAAUGUUUACACAUUUUAACAAAUGGAUUACAUUUGCUUGUGUCUGAUGAAAAACAGAGCUAAGAAUUGUUAGCUAACAAUGAAAUACUUCAAUAGUUAUUUGGACCAUCAGGGCAAGUAACUUUUUUCCGGACAGUGAAAUUUACAGUUUUACUUGCCCAGGGACAAGUGCCCACAGCAAAUAUUUCCACAACUCUG